AACAGAGAAAGGAAAAAAUUAAAAUUAAAACGGAGUUAGGAGUGAGACUCAGACCUGUAGUGGCAGAUACUUUGUAGAGAUUUUACAUGCAGAUCUAAAUCUCGAUGCACGUAUUCCCCAAAGAAAGCUCAGCAGGAUGGACACAAUACCUUUAUUUUAUCUAUUUUUAUGUGCUGCUGAAGAUCGAACCCAGUGCUUCACACGUGCCAGGCUGAGAUCUCCUGGAAUGAAGAAUAUACCUGAAAGAGAAAUCGUCUAUAAUGUUGAAUUGAUGAAUAAAAGAAUGAGUAAAGAUAUCCAACUGUGAAAGGCAUCAUCUAUAUUUUCCCAACAUAGUGAAUGUGUGUUCAUCUUAAUGCAUCAUAAUUCUCUAAGUCACUUAAAACUUGGGAAUGGAACAAGGAGACAAAGUGGGGCAAAUUUCUGCAAAUAUUGGGAGAUCUGAAGUAGCUGAUAUGUCUGUGUUGUACUCUCCUAUACAACGAAGGACAGGCUGCUGCAGGUGACAACAGCACUGAGGACUGCAUUUGGUUCUGGGAGCAGUUUAUUUUCAGAACUGACAUCCUACCCAUUUCUAAAUAUAGACAGUUUUUUUCCUUUCAAACAAGGGUUUUUUUCUGUUAAACUUCAAUUAAGAUGUUAACUGUGUAUUACAAGGUCUCUCCCACCCCUCCUACCUUCAUGAACUUUAUUCUUGUUAUACUCUCUCCUCAGCCACCUACUCUUCUUUUCCUUGUCUCCUUUGUUUCCUAACUUUUCAUUUUUAAAGAUUUUUUAAAGAUAGACACAAUAUCUUUAUUUAUUUUUAUGUGGUGCUGAGGAUCGAACCUAGUACCUAACAUGUGCGAGGCAAGCACUCUACCACUGAGGUAUAACCCCAGUCCUCUAAUUUUCAUUUUAUUUCCUAUUUCUCUGCUUUCUUAGUCUUUCUCUAUCACCCUCUAUAACUUUCCUUUUGAUGCCCCUAACUUAAAAACAUCCCUUAGGAACAUCCUUUCCAUCAGGUCAAGAGAAAAUAGAUGUCCAAAGACUAUGUAUAGAAAGAAUUCUGUUAAGAUGGCAAUUCUCCCAAAAGUGAUCUAUAAUUCAACACAAUUUCUAUCAAAAUUCUAGCUGAAUUAUUUUUUCAUAAAAGUUAAUGAGCACAUCCUAAAGUUCAAAUGGAAAGGCAAUAGUCACAGAACAGCCAAACCAAUCUUGAAAAGGAAGAGCAAAACAGGAGUAUUCAAUCUUUCUGAUUUCAAAACUUACUACAAGCUAUAGUAAUCAAAUAGCAUGGGACUGACAUAAGGAUAUACAUAUAAAACAAUGAAAUAGAAUUGAGAGUCUAGAAACACAACCUUGCAUUUAUAGUCAAUUGAUUUUUUACAAGGUGUCAGCCCAAGUUAAUAGGAAAAUAGUAGUCUUUACAACAAAUGAUGCUACAAGUAACUGAAUAGACACAUGAAAAAGAAUGAAGUUUGACCUUUACUUCAAAAAUAUAUAAUGUUUAAUUCAAAUCAGAUCAUACACCUAAAGUUAAGAACUAACACUUCAAAAUUGUUAGAAGAGGGCAUAGUAGUAAGUCUUUGUGACCCCGGAGAAUGCAAAACCUUCUUAAGAUAUAACAAGAGCACAAAUGAAAAAAGAACAAGUAGAAACAUUUCACCUCUCCAAAAUUCAGACCUUUUUUGCUGCCAAAAAUAUCAUCAAGAAAGUGAAAAUAUAACACUCAGAAUGGGAUAAAAUGUUUGCAAAUCAUAUAUCUGAAUGCAGUUUGGAUAUACAAUAAAGAACUGUUUCACUUCAACAACAAAAAUGAACUGAAUUGAAAAAUGGGCAAAGCUUUGAAUAGAAAUAGAAAUGUCUCUAAGACAUACAAAUAACCAAUAUGUAAAUGAAAAGAUGUUCACUAUCAUCAGUCAUUAGGAAAAUUCCAAGAAAAAACAUACUUAGAUACGACUUCACACCCCCCAAAAUGUCAAAACAACAGACAGUAACAAGUAUUAGCAAGGGUAUAGAAAACUUAGAAGACUCAAACAUUGCUGGUAAGAUUGUAAAAUGGUGCAUCCACUCUGGAAACAGUUUGGAAGUUCCUCAAAAUAUUAAACAUGAAGUUAUCAUAUGUUCUAGCAAUUCCAUUUCUAAAUAUAUAUUCAAAGGAAUUGAAAACAAAGGGUCUACAUAAAAAUAUGUGCAUGAAUGUUCAAUUAGCAGGAUUAUUAAGAAAAGUCAAAAGAUAGGAAUAACCACCUGAUACAUGAAUUAACAAAACGUUGUCUAUCCAUACAAUGGAAUAUUUUUUGGCCAUAACAGGGUAGAGUGGGAUGAAGGAAGGGAGUAUGGGAUUGGGAAAGACAAUAGAAUACAUUGGACAUCACUUUCCUAUGCUCAUAUAUGAAUAUACGACCAGUGAAACUCCAUAUCAUGUACAACCAAAAGAAUGGGAAGUUAUACUCUACGUAUGUAUGAUAUGUCAAAAUAUAUUCUACUGUCAUGUGUAACUAAAAAGAACAGAUAAUAUUUUUUUUUAAAAAGAAUGGAGCAGUGAUACAUGCUAUGACAUGACUGAACCUUGAGAACAUCACAAUAAGUGAAAGAAGCCUAGACACAAAUGGCCAUGUAUUUUACAAUUCCAUUCAUAUGAAAUUUCCAGAAUAGGCAAAUCCAUAAAGUCAGAAAGUACAUUAGUAGUUUCAGGGGGCUAAUGGGGAGGAAAGUUGGGAGUGACUGCUAAGAAAUAAAAGGUUUGUUAUUAAGUUGAUGAAAAUGUUAUGGUGUUGAUGAUGAUGAUUCUACAACUAUGUAAAUGUACCAGAAACUACUUGAUUGUAUACAUUGAAUGGAUAAGUAUUAUUGGAUGUGAAUUACAUUUCAAUAAAGCUGUUUUUUAAAAGAAUA